rnacentral:ncRNA from 1 species
CUUAGCCGGGGUAUGCCAAUCCACUUUUAUGGUAUAUCCACGGACAAAAAAGGAGGAAUCAUCAACCCGCAGACUUGCGGUGCGGUAUUGUGGAGACAUAUCGCAAUGCGGCGGCCAGGCCCGGCUGCCGUGAGGGUGCGCGCGCGGAGGCGGCGCAGUCAGAGUCGAAAAACAUGGCA